GUUCAAUUCUGAAUGCCAUAGUUGGAUGUAGUUACUUGUCAGUUAGCAUUAUUAAUGGACUUACCGGCGACUUCCGAUAACUCUCCAGUAAUGCGCUCUUGCAGUAUAACCUAUAAGUUUGGAAAGUCAUACUUCAACUAAGGAGUGUGGGAAUGAGGUCGAAGGAGCAUAAGAAUGGAAGGCUAAAUAAAUAAUGAGAAGUUUCUUUGUUACGUGUAUUGGGAAUGCUAAUCCAGAGCUCUGGUAUGAAAAAAGGCAAGUAUAAGUCUGGGGUGUUCUCAUCUCAGUGCAACGUGUGAAAUGGCUUAGUAAAGAGAGAGAUCUUUGGAUAUCGGCAAAGUCAGAGAAGAAGGUGUUUAUACUACGAAUAUCUUCCGAUUCGGAAAAGCAAAUAGAGAAAAUAGAGAAGAUAUCGCGAAAGGAAGCGAACGAAGUCACCUUGUAAGAAAGUUGCCUGCCUUAAUAGCCCACCCGUAUGUAGUCCAAAUUCCUUUAUACGCCUUAGUAGCCCACCCGUAUGUAGUCCAAAUUACUCUAUAAGUUGUGGUUGUUAGUUCAAAGUAGGCCGCUUCAGUCCAGUCAAUCAAGCAUUCCAUCGAAGCAGUAGGACUCGAGAUAACCUCUCCUGUCGAGCAGAGAUCACCUAUCUCAAACAACAACGAGAGAGAUCACUGAAGCAUAAGGGGAUAUCAACAUACUGUGACACUCGGGAGAAACUCUCCAGUACAUGGGCCAAGUAACGACUACAAAAGCAAUGAAAACAGGACAGGCUAGUAAAACAUAUUCUAUUUAUAGUACCUAAUGAAUAGUAUAUGUUAUUGGGAGUACAGUACCCAUAUUAGUAGAGUGCGGUUCAUAAAGUGGAGAGUAAGGAUCAAGCCCAUACUCCGUUUCAAGAUCAGAAGCGGAAGAGAUAGAAUGCAGCAGGAUAAGAAUCAAUUAAGGGAUCUGUUGCCGAAGCCUAAUCUCCUCUUUCUUUUGUAUGCCCACUUAGUUUCAUUCUGCCUUUGAUGUUGAGAGCACUAGGUGAGUUACCGGCUUCCAUUGGAACCCUAUUGCCUAAUUCUUCUGUUUCCAAUGUGACUCCUUCAGCCUAUUAAUUAAGGUGCUGAAAGCCUACCGGUAUGAAACUCGAAAAGGAAAGUCGACGAAAGAAUCAGAAGUAGGUACCACUCCUAUAAGAUAGAAUAUAAAUUGUAUCAGAAGCGGGGCCAAGCAACGCAAAGACAACUAGAAUAAUCAACUUACAUAUAGUAGAUUUAAUAGUUGUUAUUACAAUACCCGUUUUGGGGGCCGCUCAGUAAUAACGAACUUAUUUAUGAACUUCAAGUCCCGUGUUCGAGGCCAAGCCACUAAAUCAAUCCCUUGUGCAUUAGCUUACUUUCCAGGGGUGUGCCAACAGUCUCUGAUUGGGCUACUAUUCCCAUUGAUUUGACUAUUCCUAUUGAUUUGACUCUGAUUACUCUGAUUUGGCUACUAUUCCUAUUCCUAUUGAUUUGAUCUGAAGCUGCUGCAAUUGAUAAGUAAGCGCGGGUCAGGCCUGUAUCAACUAUUCUGCAACUAAGAAGCUAAGGAAGGACCUACCACAGCUCGAAGUAGAAAGUGGUUCGUUGAAAAGAAAAGAGUGAGUAAUGAGUCCUGUUUUCGGGAGCUCAACAAAGAUAUAAAGUAAGGGGAAUAAACCGGUACUGGGUUGGUGCUUACGCUCUGCUCUAGGUCGAGGCCUCUAUAAGAAGUGAAGGGUGCUAAAACAAAAGAAGUAGGGGCGGGAAGCUAGUCCAGAGUCGAGGCCAGCAAGGUCAGAAUCACACCCAGGAGUUACAGAAUGCAACCAGUAUAACAGAGAGUUGAACCCAGUAGUCACAGAAUUGACCUAAGCGGUUUAAGAGUGGAGCUAGGCAUAGUAAGACUAUGGUUCCGAGUCAAGGAAAACUGUAAUGGAAUCUCUCGAGCAAGCAUCCACUGAAUAGAAUCCUUCUUGCUACUAUUAUAGAUAUCCGUAAACAACCUCUGAAAACUCUAAUUGUAUUAGAUGAAGAAACACCUCUCUCUCAUAGACCGACGUAAAAAACAGAAGAACUGACCCACCUAACCCAGGGCGGGGGAGACCCUCUUCCUUCUAUCAUACCUAGGCAGGGUACAAGUAGAAUAUAGUACCUUAGCCCCGCGGGUAACAAGAAUUCUUUCAGUUGCAUCAGUGGAUUCUGCUUCCUUCCGCCUCGGACAAAACUGGGUUGUUCAGUGGCUUGGCUCCUCUUAAACUAGUUGAGUUGUUCUUUCGCUCCUCUAGCUUGUAUGCAGCCUGUGCAGUGUAAGUUGUGUGGUUGCUGAGGCCGAAAACCGGGUAAGGGCAGCCUCGUUAGUAUUAGCUAAAGUCUUAGUUCCGAGUCGAGUUCACUGGGUCCCAACACUGCAGAUAAGUCUUAUUAGCUUCAGACUUCUUCUUAUUCUUAUUACCAAUACAGGGAGUGGGCGCAGGCCUAGAGACAAGAGAGUAAGUCCGAGAGACAGGAGAAGCGGAGGUGAACUAAAGAUUAUAGGGCGGGAUGAUAAGAAUUCGAUAAGUAACGACUGGGCGUUAAGGCAGGCAAGACAGAACACAAGCAAGGGGCAUAAGAGCGAAAAGCUAGAGAGGUUGUUUGAAGGGAACAAGUAAGGCGGUGGAUAUGAAAAGUCAAGAUCCGGAUCAGUAGCGAAAGCCCCAGUUUCUAGUUCCAAAGUAGUAGUGAGUUUCGAGUUUGUGGUCUGAUAUAGUGGAGCCUUACUAUGGGUAGCGCAAUUAUGAUUAUUCUAGGAAUUCGACUUUCAAGGCGGAAGUGGAAGUUUAGCCCGUAUCGGAGUUAACAGUUAAAGUAGAAGUUUAGCCCGUAUCGGAGUUAACAGUUAAAGUAUUAGAAGCUGUAGCUCCAUUCUGGAUUUAGUAGUUCAAUCCCCUGUUAUUAGUUUAUUUCCGACUUUUGAUUGAAAGUAGUAGAAGCGCUCAGUAUCAUAAGAAUCAAAGCGGUGUGCCCCAGAAAAGAAGCCUUAUCUUUAUCUUCAUCUGUUGUCCAAUUCCCCAUCACAAGAGAAAUUCCACAUCACAAGAGAAAGUAGUAGAGGAACCAGCCCAAGUCCUAUCAACUGGUAGUUAAGCCUAUAUUCCCUGUUAUAAGUAAAAGGAGAGGUAGCAAUAGAGGAGUUCCCGGUUUUGAGUUGAGUUCCUUUGCUCUUGUUUCCGGCUAUCGGGGUAGUGCUGCGCUCUCUUGCUUACUAUUUAGAUUCUGUGACUUAAGCCUGUGAGCCUGUAUACCGACCUUAGAUAAGCUAUACGGACCUGUGACUUAAGCCUGUGAGCAUGUAUACUGACCUUAGAUAAGCUGUUCUGUUAGCUACUGAUACGGAGCCUUACCAAUCAAUCUGCGCUUGCUUUUUGUCCUAAACAGAUGCUGCCACCUAUAAGAGUUGAGCUCGUUAAGGGGCUGCCGCGUAUAAUUAGUAGUUACUUGGCGGCCCUUGAAGAAAGUCUUCUCAUAAUUCUAAUACCACUAUACUUGCUAGUUCGUGUUUCAUUGAGGCGGUCGGAGAGUAAGGCCUGGGAGUGGAGGGUAAGAAAUCAGAAUGAGUUGACUUACUUGGCGGGUAGGGUAGUUCAGAAUUCCAUCUAUCUUUCUUGCGCUUCAGAAAGCAAUAAUCUAGGUUGUUAAGGGCAAUCUGGCCUCUCUCUACGACAACAAAAGAACCGACAACUUGACUUGCUACUGACUUUAGCACUGACUUGAGUCUUCCCCUCGUAAAUGCUUCACAGCCGUAUUCUUCUCCUUCAGAUGAGAAAGCUGCUGACCUUACCUUUGGCACAGCUCCUUAUCUAGCUUAUGAUAUGGUUCCGGGUUAACUCUUAACUCUUUGAUAUGUUUCUUAUGCUUCUGGAACAAUACUUGAUACUGGUACAAUACUUUAAUCAGGAUACUGGUACACAAACAAGGAGCUCGACGAAGACGAAAACAGGACUUGAAGACCAGAUUGCUGCUGUACUUAGAAGAAAGACUUCCUUAACAUUAAACUCAGAAUGAAACUACUUCCACUUUCCCUGCAGGAUUUGUUGCUCUAGUACUGUUGCUUGGCCCCCUUUCUUAACCGCCAACACCGAGAUGAGAGACAACACUAGCAACCGACCUUUCAAAGUACAGAAUUGGAUCUAUCUCUUGCUGUUAGCGCCCUUGCUCGUUCUCUACUAAUUGAGUAUUCUUGACUUCCUUCCUGUUUCUACUCAAUCCUCUGAUCUUAUAGUAGUAGCUUCUUGAACUAAACUAUCUUAUUGCCUCAACAUUAGCGGAAUCCUUCUUGCCCUAGUAAAGAUGCUGGGCGAGGAAAGUAUACCCUUUCUUUCUUGGUAUCGAUUUCACCCCUACUUCUGGUCGUUUAAGCCAUAUUCCACUCAGAUUAUUAACAGAAAGCGAAAUUCCCUAUCCUGUAUCCGGAUGUUCUAUGGCAUUUCUCCUAUAAUCUUGAUGAUUCCCUUGCACUUGAGCUUGAUGGUCGAAUUGAAUCUAGCGUGACUACACAUAUAGAAGUCAGCAACCGAUAACUCUACUACAUACUCUAAACAACAGAGCUUUGCUUCCUUUACGAACCCCAGAAAAAAGUACAUUCUCCUAUGGCCAAACCACUGACAAAUAAGCCUUAUGAAGCGCUAAGUACUCUUAUGGCCAGCGCCCCAGCAUCUUACCUUUGACUUCCUUACCUUACUUGACUUUCCUCGCAUUGCGGAUGCAGAUUCUAUAUGGGAUGAAACUAGGGAUUCUGGAUACUCCACUCAAGAAUGAGCUUUAUCUGAAGCCUAAGAUGGAUCGGAAGAAGGUACUCGUUCUUGCGCUUGUGUCUAAGGCGGACGCUCCUUGUCGUAGGUAUAGAUAAGAAAAGUUCGGUGAUUGGACUGGACCACUACUCGGUAGAGCCAAGCAUUCAAGUUCAGGUCAGGCUGUAAACACCUAUAUUUCUCGUUCUUUAACCGUUGUUCUAUUUCUCGUUCUUUAACCCAUGUUUUUAGACUCUUCUUCAAGCUGUGGUGCACUGCACUCACUCUAUUCUAUUCCUUAUAGUCAGGGCGGAAGCCAGGGCGCUAAGCAAGAACAAGUACGUUAAGGGAGCAGCUUUCCUCAAGUCCUAUUCCUAGUGCUAACGUUAGCAGCUUUCCUCAAGUCCUAUUUCUAUGCUAUGUACAGUAUAUUCUAUUCCGUAUGAGUUUUGUUUACUUCAGACUCCACUGUCUUUACAGCGCGGGUAAUUAUAGAAUCAGAGGUCUAACUCUCAUAAGCCGAUGAAGACAAGAAGUCUCCUAUAUACGAAGUAGAAGCAGUGCAAUGAAAGUCGACUCGAGAAUCAACAGUUACAAGUGAAGAAGUAGUUACAGGUCCAGUAUAAAGGUUCGGUGUUGGACUCGGGGCUCGAAACAAGUGUGUUAGAGAGGGUCGGUUGAUAGAGGUGCAAGUGUGGCUCCUGCGCAGGUUUCGUAUACAAGUCCAGGUGCUCAAGAGCUUCAAUUACAUUCUGACUUGAUCAUAUUAGGGUACUAAAUGUAAGCCAUUCCUAUUCUUAGUGUACUACUUUCCAUUAGGGUGGAAUCCGGGCCAAGCGUUAGCCGAGUAACUACUAUACAAGUCGACAAGUCCUUUAUUCGAGCGUUAGUAUAUAGGCUCACGGUCAAGUUGUUGAAUGAGGGGAAGGUCUUACUUCUUUCUAUGCCCCAUGUGCAAGAUGCAAGAUCACAGAGGGAUAUUCCAUUCUUACAAAGUACUAAUUCCACUCAUAAGUCCAAGGCGGAAAUCACUGAUAAACAAGGAUAUAGCUCCAAACAAACUGGUUUAGUCCACCGCUCCUGUGUCCCUCAACCCACCUCUCUUUGUUUUGCGUAUUACUCUCUUCGCUAUUAGUCUCACUUUCUCUGCCUUCGUUCUGUAGCUAUUGAUAUCGAACCUUGCUUCGCCUACCUUAAAGCAGCCCUUGCUUGCUUUAUUUAUUUCACUUCUGCCUAUAAGCCCGCCUUUACUGCCUUACAUGCUUGCUUAACGCCCCAAACAUUGGAUUCUUUCCGUACUACCCUAGCUCUAAAGCUCAUACAACUUCUUUUUCUUCUAAUGAGUACUGAUCUUAACUCUGUCAUUCCUAUUUCUGAGUAAGAGCCUUGCUUCACUGCCUCUAGGUCCCAUAUUGCUUUAUCUCAUUCCCCAACUCCAAACCCUAGCUCUAGAAUUCAAUAAAGUAUAACUCAACUACAAAGUUGGAAAUACAAAUUAUUGUUUCAGUGUAUAAGAAUGAUACUAGGCAUUAACAGAAUGAAAACACCACUAAAGAAAACAACUAUAGGGCAAGUAAGCCAACAACUAGGGAUGCAAUAAAGAAGUACGACCCAAGGACUGAAACAAAGAAUCGUGAAAGGAAUACAGGAUUCAACCAAGGAAGGGUUUACUAGUAAGCAGGCAAUGCAGACUUAAAUCAAGGCAGAGCAGCUUAGCUUUAAGGCCAGCUAGCAUAGGAUCCGAAUCAGGAGUUACAGCAUACAAGUCCGGAUGUUGAAGAAUGAGAAUUAGAUGCUGCAAAGCAAGGUUCAAACUAAGAAGGAAUGUACCCCCUAUAAGCCUUAAAGUGAGGAUAUCUUCUGAUAGUUAGAAGUUUAUGGGUGAGCAGCAAAGUGAACGGCAAAGUGAACGGCAAAUGAAACAUCUUAUUAAGGGAAGUGAACGGCAAGUGUAUCAAGUGAACGGCAAGGGGGACGGCAAUGAGUUAAAGCAUGUAAGCAGUAGUGCAAGUCCGUAGUUUGCUUCUAAGUCUUCUACUGCGUUGGAUCCGAUUUGAUCGUACCUGAGUUCUUUGCCGCCCGCCGCCCAUUCAGAAUUCUUAGGGUUAGAGUUCCGUUUGUAGCUCCCUGUUAUGAGUUAAAGAAUGAGUCUUAGUUCCGAGUGGUCUUAGUUGAGAGUUGAGUUCCCGUAGUUAGUAGUUACAGUCGGAUAUAGUUGGUGGGUUCCUUGGCUAACGCUUGGAGGUAGUAGUCGCAGGCUUUCAAUUAGUAGUUUCAGAGCAAAAAGAUGCAUCUCGUUUUUCAGUCAGUAAGGUAAGGCCGCUAGCAAGGAGGCAGAGUUCAAUAGGUGAACUCCUGAGUGAAAACAAAUAGAAUGAGAUACAUUAGCAGGAGAGUGCAAGUCAACAGUAUAAGCCUCUAAGCCUAUAAGCAAGUAUGCCACUAACAAGUAGAAGUUUGUGGGGAGGAAAUCCGACUUAAAGGAAGUAAGGGUAGGCUAACUAUAUCCAUGAAACCAGACUUGAAGGCAUUUGUUGAAGAAUAUAAGUCAAGAUUAGCAGAAUGAUAGUGCGGAUGGAUGAUAAGAUUGGUCUCGCGGGUGGGCUACCAAGAAAGUAAGGCGGUAGGACACACUGAGUUACAGGAGAGGCAGGCCCUAACUCAAACAUAGGCAUUUUUGGCAGUAGGGGAAGUUUGAAGCUAAGGAGAGGUCGUCUUGUCAGGAGUCGCUGGUUUCCUAUUUGUUAGUUCCUUUCAGAUUUUCCUAUUUGUUAGUUCCUUUCAGAUUAGUAUAGGAAUCAGACUUCACGAAAGGAUAGGCAAGGCAGACCAAUCUCCCCCAGGUAACAAGGCUCAUGGGCCGGAGUACAAGUUUGAAAGCAAAAGCAAGGACAGUGAGGGUUUCAGCAAGGCGGGUCAGCUUAGGUAGGGUAGCGAGCAAGGUUUGAGAUAAGUCAAGUAAGGUCGAUAAGUCGUAAAGUAAGGUUAGAGUCCUGUAGCUCUAUUCUGAUUAGCCUCAGUUCCGGUCUAAUAGAUAUAGUAAAGCAAGGCUUGGAGCCGCGGGUAUCAAGAUUGGAAGAAAGGCACGGCAGGAUAGCAAUCGAUCCUAGUAGUUAUGUUAAUAAAUUACUGUAUUAUUAGUUAACGGAAUACUUCAUUGAAUCAUUUUCUCAGAAAAUGCACAAGUAAUAAUACCAAGUGGAGCACUAAUAACGAGAUGCAGGAGAGGCUGACUCAACCAGGAGAUAUGAUAUGAUGGGAUCCGGAUCAGCAAUACAAGAGUCAAAGACAGAAAUAACAGAUUUAUGGGCAUGGUGAUUAUAAUAGGGGUUCGGGAAGGUUAGGCUCACUCUCAUUAGUAUUUGUAUAAGAGUCAAACAACAAAGCAAGUAUGCAGGGAAGUAGUGUUGUGAGGAUACCGGGCUAAAUGAACUAGUCCUGAGUAAGCUCUAAGACUAAUAGCGUAUAGUAAUAAUGGGCAAGCGGAUCAGAGAGGGCCAAGCAUUAAGGAAAGUGGUGGAAUUCUUUGUAUGUAUCUACCGUAAAGAGAGGGGAUAUCUAAGAUCUUAUCUUCCAAAGUUUCCUUUCAAUGAUAGGUGUAAGGUUACUCUAGUCAAUGAUGGGUGUAAGGUUACUCUAGUAUAGAACGGGUGUAAGGUUACUCUAGUAUAGAACGGGUGCUUGUGUUGAAACCUAACUGCUUCCUUCCAGCGAUUAGCUUUAACGGAGUUGUAUCUUAUCUUCCUUCUAGCUUUCACAGAGAGUUUCUAUUGGUGCCGAGUCGAGUGUUGUAGGAUUAGGCAGUUGAAGAGAGCGUUCAUCUUUGAGAAAUGAAUUCUUAACAAGAAGGGCGCCAACAUAGCUUGUCAAACUCACUUAUGGAAAAUGGAGUGCAUCAUCUAUUAUAGAAAUAUGGGAAACGACUACUAGAAUAAGAAUCAAGUCACCAAACUAGAAACUCCUCGCUCUUGCUUUAAGACUGGAGUGAAAAAGAAUAUGGGAGAGCGUUCCUGCUCUACCUAACAAAACUGUGCUAGCUCCACUUAAUAUGCAUGACAACUGAUAUAAGGGCGGAACCUUACUGCUUGUUAGCUUGUUUUUGCGCGGUUGCUUGUUCUCCUGACUCGUUGGAAGAGAAUGGAGCAUGACACAACAUAUAGAGAAAUAGUGACUCAACUGAUUGGUACUUUGAUUAUUGGCUUAUGAAGCGGUUAAGUAGAAAAGAAGGGGGAAAGCUAGUAAGUCUACUACCCUUGCCCGAGCUCACUAACGCACUUGCUUUGCUUGUUUAAGAUAGUGUGCAGGGAACUUAUAGAUUAAUAGUGACCAACCUGCUUACUGGAAAGUGGAAUCACUUAAAUCGGCACCGCUAUCUCUACAAUAGUACUGGAUUCUUGCCCUUGCUUGCUUGCUUUCUCAACAAUAAGAAAAGAAGAUAAUUGACUUGCUGGCUCUCUCAACAAUAAGAAAAGAAGACAAUUGUGCCACCCACCCACGCCAGAACUCCAAUAACCGUUAGCUCCACUCACUAACGCACAAACGGAACGUUGCUUGUUCCCCGCAACACCCAAUUGCUUCCUUUAAGAACGAAUAGAGGCACCCCGAAGUAAGCUCCCCGCUCUGCUACUGGAAACACUCUACUUUUGCCGCGCUGAGUCUUGUUCCGAGUCCACAAAGACUAUCAUUUCUUAUUGAUCGGUAAACUUUGAAUCCAACAACUCGAGAGUGGAUUCGGCUUCUAGAACUGGAACUGAGGCAGAUGCUGAUAUAUAAGUUGUUUUCGACCUUUACGUUUUCUCGUGUUUCCUCAUAACAGGAGCCAAAAGCAGGAAUUGUAAUGACUCGUAAUAGCUUGGCCUAUUGACUACCCUGUACAGGUGCUUUUCUCUCUAUUUACUACCUCGGACAGGACUAUCGGUUUCAUCACUCUUAUCUUAACCCCGAGUCGAAUCCUAUCAGUAAUCCUAUAAUAUGAUAUAUAAAGAUUAUGGAGGAGAAAAGUAGAAAAAGGGGAUGGAAAACUUCUAUGCUUAACACAAGCACUGAAUCCUAUGCUCUGUAAACCAAGACUCUCCUCUGGCUAUCAUCUAAUCUCACUCAAGCUACUAAUACAGAUGCAACAGGACCACUACACUACUGGUUGGGGCAGUAAACCUAGCUCCAUCCUCUAGCUACAACUACUAAUACAGAUGAAACCGAAACUCUCACCAUUAACAUAAGGGCUGGAACAGUAACAGGGCCAGCGACUACUACUACAACAACUCCGGUAUUUCACUAACCAAGCUACUAUACUAAUAGGAAUAAGGGAUACUAAAGAGAAGAGCCAAGUCACCACUUUCAUUCUCACUGCCCACCAGGUUGACGAACACAGUUAAGCUCCCGUUUUUAGCUCGCUACCGUUUCACUCCUACCGCGCCACGUUAGUAGUGGCUUGGUCAUUAGCAGUUCCUUGGUGGACUCAAAGGAAGGAAUUGUUAUAACAAGGUGACCAAUAGAUAUUUCCUAAGGUUGGUUUCUCUCCUGAGGCUUUCUUUGAAACUAUUAGUAUCAUUGAAUUGCUCACUUUUGGACAUGUGUGAAGUAGUCGAAACACAAAGCAUCUAUUCCUAUUGAUCACAGAAGAGUUAUAAGACAGGGUGUGUGUAUUAGGUCUCCUAUCUUACCCAUAUUCUUGCCUCAUUCUAGGAGUGAUAAGCAACGUUCGCAUCUUCUUGGGAGCUUCAUCUACUUUUCUUCUCCGUUCCAGAAAUGAUUUUAGUGCCUAUAAAACAGGGCAAUAACUCCCUUUAGCCAAUUACUGAAGGGCACAGGACUUGCUACUGAAAUAAGAAAGAGUUUCACAGAGGUUUGUAGACGAGAAAUCAUGGUUGACAGCCUUACCUUUACCUUAAUGCGCUUUACUUUCCCUUUACCCUUUAGUGGUCCAAGUCGAGUCGGUUCAGAUGCUUUGCUUGAUAAGGAGCAUAAGCAUAAGCCAGAUUAGAUUCCAAAGAAAGGGAAGCAGUUCAAUUCAAUGAAAAGGAAUGCUAAGCUGGUUCACUUGACAAAUAUUUCUAUACCAGAGCUCGCUAACACAUAAGUAUAAGCCCAUGUUUGUUCUUCUCAGCAACGGAAUAAGAAACUUUCGAGCGCUUACCACUGACUUUCGGGUUGGGAGCGAGUGAGUCCUGACUACAGGGAAGCUCUUUUGAGAUGAGGAUAUGACCAAUGAUUACCAAUCUUCCGACUAAAGUAAUAAGAGGAGUUCUACUUCACCUUAGAGAAAUAAGCCUUCUUUUCUUGCCUUCAAGGACGGAUAUACCCUAGACUGAGCACCCAAACCCAAAGAAAGAGACGAGACUGUAGUUUAUGAGUGGAAUACCCUUAAUUAGGAGUGGAAUCCCCAACCUGUUUAGUAGUCCUGUUUGUUGAAUCUGUAUUAGUUGACAGAGAAGAAUGAAGCGGGCCAGAAUACAGAACUUGAUAGCGUAUUCCCCUAUCUAAUGAAUUGAAUCUAAGGGAGAGAUCUAGCGCAUGCAGUAAUAGAUAUAGAAUUGGGUACGAUCUAGCGAGCAGGCCAUAAUACAUAACUGGUAGCGCAUCUGGUAGUUCAUAAGAAUGAAACCAAACUACUUGUAAGAAUGACACUAAAGCAUAAUCAUUAGAGCCAGAGUUAGAGGAGCCGAAGGAAGCAAGUAGUAAAUAGAGAAGUCGUUGCUAAGUAGUUGGCUUGGCCCCUAGGUUCGAAGUAGUUGCUAAGUAGUAGGCUUGGCCCCCGCAUCUAGUAUAAGUGGAAUGAUUUGUAUCAUCUGUGUUUGUAGUCGUUACUUGACCCACGAUGCUAUAGGGCUGUAGCUUGCCCGGGUAGCAAGUAGUAGAGGAGAGGUANNNNNNNNNNNNNNNNNNNNNNNNNNNNNNNNNNNNNNNNNNNNNNNNNNNNNNNNNNNNNNNNNNNNNNNNNNNNNNNNNNNNNNNNNNNNNNNNNNNNNNNNNNNNNNNNNNNNNNNNNNNNNNNNNNNNNNNNNNNNNNNNNNNNNNNNNNNNNNNNNNNNNNNNNNNNNNNNNNNNNNNNNNNNNNNNNNNNNNNNNNNNNNNNNNNNNNNNNNNNNNNNNNNNNNNNNNNNNNNNNNNNNNNNNNNNNNNNNNNNNNNNNNNNNNNNNNNNNNNNNNNNNNNNNNNNNNNNNNNNNNNNNNNNNNNNNNNNNNNNNNNNNNNNNNNNNNNNNNNNNNNNNNNNNNNNNNNNNNNNNNNNNNNNNNNNNNNNNNNNNNNNNNNNNNNNNNNNNNNNNNNNNNNNNNNNNNNNNNNNNNNNNNNNNNNNNNNNNNNNNNNNNNNNNNNNNNNNNNNNNNNUGCAGGUUUCUGAGUGGAAAUGAUGGAUUUCCCAUAAAACUAAAGACCAAGCAACUACUAGACAAACAACUAGUAAUGACCAAGCAACUAAGUAAGACGGGCAAGGCAAGUCACUUAUUCGCCAGUAAGUAGAAGGCUAUGAAGCAAUUUCAAGUGAGAAUGUCUCUAAGAGGUAAGCUAGUAGGAAAGUCAGAUAGAGUAAGUUGAUCCCUUAUUCUUAUUCUAGGUAUUGUUGACAGAGGAAUGGUUAGUUGACCAAGCCAGAGGUCAGAGGUCAGAUCCGGAUCGGGUACUAUUGCAACAGGGGUUCCGCCUCUACUUUCUUUCUUUAGAAAUAAGUCUACUUUCUUUCUUUAGAAAUAAGUCUACUUUCUUUCCUUAGAAAUAAGAAUAAUCAAAACGCGGAGGGCCAAGCAACGUAGUUAGUUGCGCGGCAGUCGAGUAACGAACGGGCCAAGACACUGGGCAAGGCCUAGAACACAACUUUCAUAAUCAACAAACUAAACAGUUUCUUUUGUUCUCUUACUUUCGAUGUCCCCUUAAGUAAUUGCAAGCAACUACCAAUGUAUAGCGGUAGGAGCUAUUGAGUUUAGCGUCAGUGAGCUAAAGUGCUAAAGGCGUGAAACUGUGUUCGUCAUAAAAAUGGGUGCUGUAGCUCCUAGUACUAGAGUAGGGGAAAUAAGAUCUUUGAUAUUACUGGCAAGGAAGCACGUAAGGGUGUUGCAAUACAAGAUAAGAGGCUAGAUCCGGAGCUGGCUCGUCUUAACCGAUGUUUGUAGUAGGAGUGAAAGGCUGACUUUUGUGGUUUCAUCCCCUUCAUGAGUAGUGGAAUGUAGUGGAAUGUUAUUAGUAGUGGAAUGUUGUAGUGGAAUGAUUUCCUAUUGUAUGCCGCUGCUUGCCCAAUUGCAUCUUUACUACCUAUGGCAACAGGCUCCAAUUCUGAAUUUCAUCUUUCUUGCGCUGAGUCAAAUCAAUACUUGUUGCUAAGGCAGCUAACUUACUUAAAUGCAGAAUAUGGGUCAGUAGACUAAACUCUAACUGCAGCCCUAUUAAUAAGGUUUCCUGUCACUCGAAACAAGACUUUCAGCGGGAAGUUCAUUGCCUGUUCUAGUUUACAGUGAAGUCGAUGAAGAAAUAGAUGUUCUAGUGAAUAAGCAAUGUUGCUACAGUUCUAGGAGAAGAAGCCCUAGAAUUGCCAGUAAUUGUUUCAUCCUAUAUAGAAGCUGCGCGAGUGUGGCUAAUUCUUUAUUAGAUCAGUUGGGGAGAAUGGAAUACCGGAGUCUGUUUCUUCACCAGGUGUUAAAGCCUAUAACUCUCCAUCCGGGUCAAGUACUGGCUUUUCAGCGGGGCCAAGCAACGACUACAAAAGCAUAGAAAGUCAUAAACUCAUAAGUCAGGAUACCCCGGCUUCAAUGCAAGAAACAAGGGCACAGCUUUUAGGUCAGUAAGGGAAGGCUCCAGAUUAGUAGCUGCAGAACCAAGAUAUGGAUUGGCAGAAUUAGAUAAAGGAGUGGCACGCUAUGACAAAAGAAAGGCGGGCUCAUGCACCGUAAAGCAAGGGUCGAAGUAAGCUGCUACAGACUGAAGGCAUGGUAGGCAGGUAUCGUAUUUGAAUUAAGUAAAGGGAGACUAUAACUAGGGCGAGGCUCACAGGCUGCGGUGAUAUCCGUAAAAUCAAAAGCCAGGCAUUAAGGCUGUAAGGGAAUACUCAUAGCGGGGAGGGGAAGAGCACCAGCUCCAUUCUUCUUUUUAGGGGUUUUCCGUUUGGUAGUUCUAAUCCAAUCCAGUAUAGAUAUAUACUCUGAGUUAAGAGCAAGAGGCUUGGAGACAGUUAAGUAAGCCCGGGCCCUUAGCAUAGGUAUUUGUAGUAUUGGCUCAAGUCUGACUGGGGUGAUUUUAGGCAGUAGUGCAUUCCCGGUGUGAGUUAAGGUCCCAUACGCCUGGUUUACACUCUUGUUAUCAAUAGUCAAAUUCUAGUUUACACUCUUGUUAUCAAUAGUCAAAUUAUAGAUCCCCAGUUGCUUUCUUGUUAGUGGUUGGAUAUGAGUUCGGUCCCUCGUUUGGAGUUGAAUUACCUAUAUGGAGUGAAAAAACGAGAAGUACCUGUGCUAUGCCUUCCAGUAGUAUGGUGGAUUCCCUACUAUAGGAGAAAGGAUAAGAAGCACUAGUUACAGGCCAAAAGCAAGGAUAUUAGAAUAGAAGCAAGGCCGAGAGACAGGCAAAUCAGACUUCAAAGAAAGGUAGACAGGCUCCUAGGCGUAAGUUAUAUUCUUUAUUAUCAGGUUUAAAGCAUUGUUAGCACUAGCGGAAGUCCGAGUUUCCAGCUUAAAUACUAUCAUUAGUUGUUGGUUUAUUUAACUAGCAAGCGAGGACCCGACUCCGGGGUUACAGCCUUAAAGGGGUAUAUUGAUUGGAAGAAUGAGUGAGGUAAGAAAGGAAGGCAGGAGCAGUGGUUUGGUAUUUAGCAUUGGAAGAAUCGGAAGGGAGAAGCUGGCUUCAAACAAUGAGUCGAAUAAUAAGAGAAAGGAGUAUCAGAAUGAGCUCCUAGGUAAAUGAAAAACAGAGGCAUUGCUGCUGCAACUAAAGAACGAAACUGGCACAUUCACAAGAGAAAUACUCCUUAUAGGGCUGACUACCCUACACUGAAACUCAGGCUUUCCUCGAUCGAAUUUGCAUCCUUCAAAUAAAUACUGGCAUUCCAGAGUUCGGCUCUAAGUCCCUGGAGGCCUAACGAGCUAGUAUGUCUCUAAGGAAAUGGAUUCUAAUACUCCCGGGGGGCCCGAUCAAUCUGUAGCUCACCGCUCACUCUUUGACUUACCUAUUCCAUUAUGUAUUCCCUUGAAGAGAUGCCAGGACCAAGACCUGAAACAAAGGCAAGCAAAUACUAGCUAUUAGGAUCGAACUCGGGCAUAGGAGAGGGCCUACCGAUACCUUAGAAGUGUUGCUUCCGAGCCGACACUCAAACCUUGCUUUACUGGGCACCUAAGCUUACUUACUGCUCCAUCGUUCUUUUACUACUCGAUCUCAGGUUGACUUCCAGGGAUCUUAUAUCCUCCUUAUUGCACCUAGGAUUCUUCUAACGCAAACUAACACUUCCCUGUAUAAAGAAGUAUGCCAACCCUUGCUGUCACUCUUUAACUACUUACUUGCUUUCUGGGUUUCUCACCUGUUAUAGCCUUCCCUGACUCGCGGAAAAUCUUAUAUCCACGACUGGAAGAGUGAGAGGAGCCAUUCCAUUCUCUAUUAGCUAUCAAAAAACGAAGUACCAAUUACACGGAUGAAAAGGUGUCUGCCCUGUCUCGGAGUAAUAGUCAGAAAUCUUCAUUAGUUUACAGAGGUACAGUAAAUGAAGUGAGAGGAGCGGUCUCAGAUCCUACUGAAGUUAUCAAAGAUGAAAUCCUAUCUCCCCUGCAAACAAGCUACUACUAAGUCCUGUGCCACUUAUAUAUCUGCAGCCUCUCUUAUCUUGUACUAAACUACUAGUUGGUGCUGUAAACUUUAAUAAGUAUUUGUUGGCCAUAAGAGAAGAGAUCCGAAUGAAUUGUUGCUAUCAAUAAGAGAAGAGAUCCGAAUUCUGUUAAUAGUUUGAAGCAGGGAGCUUAGAAUUACCUGGAAAGCUGGGCCCUUACUAUUAAUUGUGAGUUAGGUCUACAACCACUCCUAUAUAAGAUUGAAUGAAAGUUAGCCAAGAUAGAAUGCAAGUUUGACAGAGGAGAGGCGCAGGAGGUCUAUUCUGACUUAUGAGUUGAGAGCACUCGGGUAGCAAGAAAUAAGUCAAAUACUGGUUGGUUAAGAGCACUGCACGGCGGUUGGUUAUCAACAUCUAUUAUAGGCGAGGAGGGGGAAUCACUCUCAUUCUUCUUUUUCUGGACUUGGAGUUGAGAGAAACCAGCACUAGGUUUGCAGUCAAGCACAAUUCUGAAUUUAGAUAGAGGGCACAGUGAGUGACCUUAAUCUAUUAUACCCCACUCCGGCUAAUGAUUAUGUUUCUUCCGUUCAAGUUCCAUUCUCUCUUUUUGUGUUGGGAGUUCCACUCUUACUUUCUAUCCUUCUUUCGAGUCCAACACGAGUCAAACCCAACAACUAAUACUUUUCACGCGUUAGGAGAGUUCUUUGACUACUUGUACCAUAACUCUGGAAAGGCGUUUCACCCAGGACUUGCGCAUGGCCUACUUAUGAAUUCCUAACUCCUAACUCAACUCGCUUGUGACUUAUUCUUUCGAAAACCCCAAUACUGGAAUUUCCAUUAGCGCCCAAAACGAAACAAGCAAUGGAACAAACAAAGAAGUAAGAACUGGAACUGGAACUUUACUUCAAUGAAACUACUCCGAAGCGAAAGCAUCCUAACAUUAACGACUUGGCCCACUACAUGGCGUUGGGGCAUUUCACAGGACAAUGCGUAACUCCCGAAAACUGUCAUUGAUUAUAGUGAGCAUCAGAUUUGUCCCCUGCCUUGGAUCUUGAACUAUAAUUGUAAAGAACUCCUGGUUGCGCAACUCUAAACUACGGUUGACUCUCCUCUAUAUGAUGUGUGCACUUCUAUUUCUUUGAUUCCAUUAUUAAAGCAACAGCUCUCGCUAGGGCAAAAGAACAAGUAGAUGCCUACAGAACAAGCAAAUAAUUAGGACCCAGGCAAGGGAAUAAACUAGGGCUUAUGGAACUACACGAAACAACUGAAGUACAGAAGAGCUCUUGCUUUAAGAGACUUUCCAGAAGUACUACUUGACUUGGAUUGGACCCCAGUAAAGGUGUUAGAUGUGUUUUCCCUUCCCUUCUUUCUUUAAGGUGUGGUUUUCCCUGAUUGAUUUCUUUCUUGCUGACUUUUGAGUUGACUUACCUUAUCUGUUUCCGGAUUGAAAUGAUGGAUGUUCUACAUUAGUUUAGUACUAAGAAGAGGGCGUUGAAGCGAGAGGAGAAGCAAACAGUUCCGUGUAAUAAUCAGACAUUCCCCCAUGAAAAUCAAUAUAGAAAUAAAUAAAAGAAAUCCAUAUAGAUAUAAUAUGAUAUAAUAUGCACGCACAAGAGAUAGAGAAAAUGCAUUCUUCAGAGAGUCCAGGCCCAACAGAAGAAUAAGAGAAUGCCAAAGAAGCUGUUCGAGAAUCCGUAGUGAGAAAGUCACCACCAAGCGCAUCCGUCCUGAAUACGAGCUCUGUUCCAGUUGACAAGGAACAUUGCGAAAGAAGAAUAAGUCACGGCUUUAGCUCUACACUAAGCCUACGAAGGUGUCGCUCUAGCUCUCAGUAAUGACCAGAAUGGCCUGUUCCUGUAGUGGUAGCCUCUCUAACGAAACUUCUUAUCUGUGUUUCUUCAGCUACUGUUAGCAGAACUCCCUAUCGCUACAAAGCUCCUAACGCCAUGCGCGUACCCGAUCCCGCUCCUUAUUCUUCUUCUUAUAAUGAUCUUUCUUCUUUUCUUCUCCGAACUCUACCUUUCCCGCGGGCAACUUACUUGCUUACAGCUGAUUCUGUUGCCGUAGAGUUAUAUGGAGAAGUUAUUGUUUCACUUACAUUAGAUAGAGUGGGGUAAUCAAAUAGAUAGGUAGCAGAACCAGCAAGCUCAAGUGCUUCUGUCCUGAAGUAGCCUUCUGUUCGAGGUAAAGUAUCAAGUGUAGUAUCAACGGAUUUCCAUCCCUACAGCACUUGUUCAGUUUGCGCCCUAAGAGUGACUCUUACCCUUAGCACAAGGGCGACUACAAAUGAGAUCAUUGGCUACAUUAGCAAGAGAGCGAGCGGGCGUUGAAGCGCAAAGUUCAUGAGUUUUUCUAAGAAGCAGUUAUGAGAAGAAAGAAACAGUUAAGGCCGACUACACUCCGUUAGCUAGUUACGAAAGGAAAGGUUCGGAAAGACUAAGUGAAGUGAAAGAGCUGGAGGUCUAACAAACAGAAAGCGAAAGCUUGAAUAGUGUAUUGGUUAGCACCCCGAUGGUUGCCUUUUAGCGUAUACAGACCCAUGUUCUUAGUAGCCCACUAUGCGGUAUACAACUUAUUAGGUUUAGGCACACUAGUAUGAUAAAGAAUACCAAGGAAGGCAGUUUCAGUGGAAUGAUAAGACAGUUGGUUCAGAUAUCUCUGUUCCACUUUGAUAGUGAAGUUCUUUUUUCCACUCUGUCGGUUAAGGCGCUUGUCAGGAAAUAUUAGAAGUAUAAGAGGGAAGCAGCAAGCAAGAAGGAAAUAACACUUUUGAAUCGUACUAUUAAGAAGCCAAGCCGAGAUGAAGUAGUGAAGCUUUCAUUGAAGAAUGGAAUGGAACUGCUGCUGAAGCCGUAUAAAGAGAACGAUCUGAAGCCGAAACAAGAUAAGGAGAAGAAGCGGUUAGAAAGUAUGCUUAUGAAUUACCUGUUUAAGUGGAAUCGUAGUAUAAGUAAGCCGAAUGCUAAUCUACUGAAGCGGAGGAAAAUCGAGAAGUUCUGUUGCAGCAAGCGGGUCUGGGUCUGUUCCAGAAGUAGAAGAGAAUGCCCACGCCACUACUGCUUUCCCUAGAGCGCUUUCUUAUCUAUAGGAGCAAGACAUGUUGCAGCUAACGUUAGGGCAGACUUAGAGUAAAGAUAGGUUGGUUCCGGGGUUAACACUUAUUGGAGUGGAAGGCGAGGACAUAGGCAAGAGGCACUGUUAUCUACUACCGGGAGACUGGGCAACUACUACAAAGGCACAGAAAGUCAAUUGUACUUAUUGGUUUCAGUCUGACUUGAACCCUGAAACUAUAUUAUGAAAUAAGGAAAGAGCAACCAAGCAGACAGAAUAGUCAGUAUAAGAAUGGGAAGGAACUCUCAACAUAAUUGGUAUUGGUCCGGUACCUUGACCAAGUCCUAUGUUCGAGCGUCAGAGUUAGUGGCUCCCAGACUACUAUAAUAGCAGCCAAUAACGGAUCUUGUCUACUUUGCACUUGCUGCUGACUCAGUUGAUGCGGCUUAUGCGCAAGAAAGAAUGAUUUCAUUUCAUUUUAAGACAUAGCUCGGAAGGGACUCUCAAUCGGGUGUUCAAGUAUCUCGGAAGGGUGAACAAAGGACUAAAAAACAGGUUAACAAAGGACUCGUUUAUAACUAGUUAGAACCAACCUCGUAUGUGCUCCCUCUAAGAAUUGAGUUUGAUACUUCCUAGGCCUUGUUGCGAAGGUUUCUAAUGGUUACUUGCCUUACAGAGUUACCUUAUACUAACUGCCUUUUAGCUUAUAACCUUAUAGCUUAUAAGUAAUUAACUGCUUCCUCGCCUCUCCUCUGUCUCUUAACUACUCUCCUAUUGCCCCAACUCUACUACUAGGAGAUACAGCACCAACACAAUACUUUAUCACUCCCCAGUUGCAGAAGCACCCAAAGACACUCUGUUUGAAGAGCCAAGCAACUCGCAACUACCAAAUAUUUAAGUAGAGGCCGAACAAGACUCUGUCCUUAAUACAUAGCUCAUUCUGAUGUUUCCCCGGAAUCAGUGAAAUUGGAACUUUACUACUUUAGGCUUAGGCUCCUCUCUGGCUCUGUGAACUCGGUCUUCAACAAGAAAGUAGGCAAGUAAAGAAUCCAACUAGUAAGUUGAAGAAUCAAGUACUUGCCUUGAAGCCAUUAGUGUUCGUUACUGCCGCGUAACCGCUAACUGCUAUCAUAAUACCACUAAUACGGAUAAAAGACUCUUACCUAUGAUAAGGAAUGACCCCGAGGCAUUAAUAGGAUGUCAACCGCCACCAAGAGAUAGGAUGUAAACCAGCUUAGCUCGAGUGCCGGGCUCGCUCCUACUACUCCGCCCAGCAAGCACACGUUAUUUUGAGCAUUAGUAAGAGGCUAUAGCGCAUCUAGUAAUAGACUAAUUGCCUAACCACAGGAGCAACCAGUGCCCGCCGACAAUCGAACAUAGGAAACAAACACCGGGCAAGCAACUACUAACGACCAAGCAACGGCUAGUUAUGGCUACGAUCUAGCGCAUAGGGAAAGUCGAAGGUAGAAGUAGAAGACGGGUACGAUCUAGUAAUGAUAUAGCAAGUAAGUCAAGUAAGCAGUUAGAGCUGAUCCUGUUCAUGCUUCUGAGCCAUAUCCAGCUCUAGCAAGACUAGAAGUACUAGAUGCGCCAAGUAACUACUAAUGUGUAGCGGCAGGAGCCUUAUUGGCUUUUUCAAUACAAUAAGAAUACUUGAAGGAAUAAUACUUGUUUGCCAUGUUAGCACAACGGCGAACUCUAUCACGCAGUCUACUUAACCUAACCGACGCAGAGCUUCCAGAUACGACUAGAAUUCCCCUUUCGAUAAGUGCAAGCAGAACAGUCAAGUCAGUCACAUAAGAUCAGAACCAUAAGCAGGAGAAGUGAAGUAGAAAGUAUAAAGUCAAGUCAAAGGUAUCUCCUAAGGUGAUAGAAUAGAAUGAGCAGACCUACUUACUGCAAAGCAAUGUUACAUUUGAUGAGUUAACCCGAGACUCGAAUCAAAGCCAACAAGACUUGUAUGCCUGGUGAGCUGUUUGAUGAAAUUCUACCCUUAAACUAGUAGCUCCGGUGGGGCAUGUUUACAUACAUGUUAGGCUAGGGUGGUUCCAGAGAGUUAAGUGACUUGUAUGGGUGGGUUACGGCAACUAUAUCUUAUUUGAAUCUUAUAUAGAAUAGAAGCCUCGAAGCCUCAUCUCCGUUUGAAUGCCCGCGGUGUAUCAAGUGAGCGAGAAAGAAGAGAGAUAGAAUCCUUAUUAGCAUAGGUUACCAUAGGCUAGUAGACUCAACUCAAAUCGUAGGGCUUGACCGAGAAAGAAAGAAGCUCCGUAUUUGCCUCUUGACCAAGCUCACGUUGCUUGUUCAGUGUACUUUACUGAUGGAUCUGCUCUACCUAACCAAACUGUCUAGUCGACUCCCCGAGGUAACCAAGCUGCUUACUCUCAUAUCUAAACUCGGAAACUGUCUGUUAAUCAUAUGUGUGGCCUCUGCCUCUGUCCUGAAAGCCGUAACUGGGGUCAACCUCUUUUGAGCCUAACCUAAUGCUUCAAAACGGACUGCUGACUGCUUUCAUUGCACUACUUAUGUAUCUGAAUCUUAGUAACCAACUCGAAACUAACUUAUUGAAACAAAGUAAGGCGGGAAAGACAGAAUGGAAAAGUGGUGAUGUUCAGAAGAAUUAGUUGAAAGCCAGGUCUGAAGCAGCCCUUAAGUAAAUAGCAGUGCAAGCCAGAGUCGAGUCUAGGUAGGCAAGGGGACAGCCAAUCAUUGAAUGCGCUAGGAGGUAGUGUAAUCCCCUGUUCUUGUUCUGAAGAUUGGUUAUAGGCAAAUAUGUCACUAAUUUCUACUUCUUAAACUAAUAGGCAUGUGACACUUAGCUACUUUCUGAAUGUUACUAAAAGCGGUCCGAGAGAGAACCAAGCCUUUCCCUGUGCUCUGAACCAACCUCGCAACUAGGAAGCUGAGACGUAAGACCUAAAUACAGCUGAUGAUCCGUACUUUGAAUCUACUGUUGGAUCUAAUACUCUAUCCGCUGACUUUGAAUCCACUACUGCUGUAUCCGCUCUAACUGCUUCCUUUGACCCUGCUUCCCUAAUUGUGACUCAUUUCUGUCUGUCUUUCUUUCCCGCUGGAAUUGAUAGAGUGAACUUCAAAACAAGAGCUUAAAGGACAAGCGACUAUUCUUAUACUUAGUGGCUGCAUUCUACUACUUAUGAUCCUGAUCUGUCAACAGCAAAGACGACCUCUUUUCCUUGGUUGCACACCUCGCCUCCCCCCUGGCUCCUAUUGUUUAGUAUAUACUCGAUGGAAUUCAUUGAUAUUGAUUUGAUUCUACUGUGUGUCUACGGAGUCUUUAGAGGAUAAAGAUAUCUUUGUUGAUAGUUUUGAUAAUUUAUUUGAUUUCAUUUCACCACCCACCAAGUCACUGUUAAUGUGAUGCGGCAGUGAGUGAGCUUGAAGAGAUCUUUUCCAAUGCCAAGUCACUCCUAAUGUGUAGCGGCAGUGGCCAAGUAACUACUAAUGUUACGCGGCAGCCAAUAAACAGUUAUAACGGCCAAGCAACUACUAACGACCGCCAAGACACUACUAACGUGGCGCGGCAGUGAGUUUUAGGCGGCGCAAGACGUUGGGCGGUAGCAAUAGUAACAUAUAUUACAAGUUAUUACAAUAGAUGCUUUUGGGGCCGCUCCACUCUUCGGAGUGAGGAGUGAGUUUAAGCCUUGGACGAGUGAGUUGGAGACCCUAGCUACAUAACAUCAGUCCGAGUAGGCACCGAAUCAGUCUUAGGACUGCUACACCGCAUCAGGCUUACUAGCUUAAUACCCAUACCGAGCAGCCACAACAUCAGGCUUGGACUCCUUAGCUUCAUUCUCUAGCUCCCCUUGCUUCCAGGCUUGCUGUUAGUGGUUUCAGUAGUAAGUGGGUCUGCUCCUGUUCUUGCCCUUAAGUAAAUGGGUGAGGCGUGUUUGUUGGGUGGGUCUUCCGUAUUUGAUUUAGUAGUUGGGUAAUGAGAUAAAGUAGUGAAAUCAUGAGAGCAAGUUAUAAGUAUACUGGAGAUAUAGGCUAUUAAGGCAGUCAGGUAAGACUAGAGCCUAGCGUAGUUGCUUGUCGGGUCCAAUCUAAUAGCUUUGCCUUACUUAUUGGAUUCCCCGUUAGUAGUUAAGGUAUUGCUACCGUUUUAUGCCUCGAUUCAUUUCCUGUUAGCUGUGAUUGAAGUCUGAGAAGCAUUAUUUCCAUUCUGUUAUUGGUAGUAACUAUAGCCCUGGUUCCUAGCUCGAGUAGUAGAAGUCAAAGUAGAAUGAAACCCCCACUAAGCGGAACUUAACUAAGGAAUGUCGGUUUCCCUGGCAUGAGUAGAAGAAUCAAAGUAAGUAGAUCCAUUCUCGUCUGUAAGUAAAAGGAUUACCCUAGCUCUAAACUCGUUCUGUAGUUAUUGACUUUGGUUCUUUAGCGGCUGGGACCAGAUCUUGCUUGACUCACUAUGAUCCUUACUUUCCGGCAUUCUAUCUUAUACUAAUACUAAUGAAACUUAUACUACUAUUGCCAACGACGUUCCAUUCCUGAUGAGUUGGUCUCCUACUUGCCUACUAGCUCACCUCUCUUAACUACCAGCUCACCUCUGAGUUUGAUUCUGAUCUACUACCCUGUUUAAGCCUUGGAAGCACGGGUUUGGUUCUGUAACACCCUAGGUUGAUUCUUGCUGUCACUGGUUCGGUUCUUACUAGCAGUGGCUGUAGUCCGAUUGUGCACCGUAUCAGGCUCGGAAGCUCGGGUUUGGUUCUGUAACUCCCUGGUUUGAUUCCGAUUGGUAUUGAUUGAAGCCUUAGCAACAGUAGUGUGAGACCUCAGCUACCAAUACAGAGAAUCAGCAGCAGCAGUGCCAGUCUACUCAACACUGGUUGAAGCCUGAGCAACACUGGGUUAAGGCUUGGUAGCUGUGGGUUAAGGCUGAGUCUACUCGGUCUCAUUCUUUAACUCCCCGGUCUCAUUCUCUUUGUUAGUAGCUAUAGUCUGUAACUCCCUUGUCUUAGCCCUGUUGUUACUGCUUUCAGGCUUAGCUUAGUUAGCUCCGUUCUCGCUUUAAGCCUUGGAUUCACUGGUUUGGUUCUGAGUAUACCCUAGCAUCCAGUCCGAGUAGGCACCGCAUAAGUCUUGAAACAGAGACCCGAGCUACCAAUACAAAUACUUUAGCUAACCGGCAUCAGGCUUAGAUGCAGUGGGUGAAGGAUUGCUAUCAGUGGUUAGAAGUGGUUGAAGGAUUGCUAUCAGUGGUUAGAAUGAGUGGCACUGGGUUGGUUCUGAGUUGUCCCAGGCUCAGUCCGAGUCUACCCGGUCUCAUUCUGUGAUGGGUGAGGUUCAUUCUGAGUACUAUAUGAGGAGUUCUGGUCAUACCAGGCUGAUCGGAUCUAGUAUAAGUCUGCCCAGCACCGGUUGAAGGCUGUUCCUCAUAAGUAUCGGGCUUGCUAGCACUGGUUGGAGUCUUGAACGACCUUGUUUAAGUCUUUGGACUCCUUUGGUUGAAGCCUGAUAGUUAGGUGUUUGGCCCUAAGCUUGGUGCUACACAUUAUCCGUGACUCGGGGCCCCUAUCAAAUCAUAUAAUCAUAUAUAAAUUGGAUCUAUCUUUAGAAGGGAUCAAAGAUGAAACAGCUUCCCAACCCGACCUAUUCUCUUAUAAGUGCCCGACCUCGACUCAGGCUCAUCUCAUCUCAUAAGACUUCUAGCUACCCUUGAUUGACUUCCCCAUAAGACUUCUGGCUCACAAACCACAUAGCAUGUAGGCCUACUAACCAAGCUACCACUACUGGGGCAAAUCCACUACUACCCGAAGAAGGUACUCUCUUUCUUUUGACUACCUCGACUAUGGACUAGAGCAUCUCUGAUACCUUAAUUCUCACUUGCAUUGCAAUUGGAACUCCCGGCUCAACUCCCUUCCUUCUUACUAGCUUCUUUAAUAACUAUAGCUCAUCCACCUCUUUUUCUUUGAACUCUCCUAUUGCUCUUUGAACUCAUUAGUGACUUUCUUUCCUUACCGCUUCUAAGCUUGUCUAGUCCAACUCCUGCCGACCUAAACUUGAAUGGCAGCUUUCUUUCUUUCCUUCCCACUACAACACAAGACUUGAGAUCAGUAGGUUGAUACCAGAAUUAGGCUCUCUUCUUUUCUUGCCACAACACCUUUACUAGUAAUUAAUUCUUUCCUCUUGACUAAUGAAGACUUAUAAACAAGCACCACCACUGUAAAUCUGUUGACUCCUUACUGACUCUCGGGCGAACAUCCUAUAAGAAGUUAUUUCACUCUAUAGUUUACUUACCGCACCUGGGUUUAGUUAUAGGGCUGGCAAGGUUUACAAUAAGGGUUAACCGAGUUUCAUAAGUUCUCAAUUCCCCGGGUUUUCUCGAUGCAAAUCUGUCUGCUUGUCCCGCUUGUCCUCUCUUAUCCCUACUAAAUAAGGGUGAAGGCUGUAAACCCUCUAUACACUCUAAUUAUUCAGUCAAUUCAUAAAGUACAGAAGCCUGAGCCAGGUAAGUAGGAGCAAGAGCAGAGUAGACCCUAUUUCGACUCCGAUAAGAAUAUAGCAAGUCGGACCCGAUCCUGAUCUUACCUCUGACCUCAACACCCUACUUGAGAACUGAGUUGAACUGAAUUGAACUACUAAGUAAGGGAGAUAUCCUUUCAGCCUCUACUUUCUUUGGAACCAUCAAGAUAUGGGUAGAAAAUGCACUAUCACAGCACUUAUUGAGUUUGAUGGCAAAUGACCUAUGUUGCCUCAGGAAAUGCGCUUAUAGUUCUUUUUUGUCAUGAAAGAUAGCCCUACUUCAAUACUGGUUAGGUGCCUGUGUUUGGGUGGUUCUCGCAACUCAUCAUUCUAUUCCAAUACUCGGAUAGUUGUUUUAUUCCUUCAAUUGACUAGCGGCCCUGGAAUUCAACAACCUGCUUGCUACAUCGGAUCGGUGACGACUUGGACCACUUCAAGGGAAAGCUAUCAAAUAGGCCCUAAGAGUGUUUUAAGCCAACACGUAUUACUUGAGAACUGGAGCUUAUCGAGUCGAUAACACUAUAAUGAAACCAACUCUUUGGACUGCACCUCGCUCGUGUUUUAGAAUGACUCGAAUGGAAUAUCUCCCUGAUUACCCUUAUUCCUUUAGAUACUCAACACCCGGAAACUCACUGCUUCCUGCUGGCUCCUUAGUCAUAACACUUGGUGAACGAUCCCUUGCUUCCUCACUGCUUGAGCAACUAAGUAUAGGGCUAGGGCCGAGUCUUCAGGAAAAGAUGCAUUUCUUAACAGUUAUGCUCUAUAUCUAAAACAUAGGAAUUUGGAUCUCUUGUGCAACAAAUCAUUCUUCAAUAUGGAAUUUCACUGCAUGUCAGUCAUAUAAUAAAGAAUUGAGCAGCUCACUGGAACUGUCCCCUGCGCAGAAUUCAAUAGCUUUAUCCAUUACAGUUGCUUAUUCGGGAAAGAGGGAAUCUCAGUAAGAAUCUCCGGUCCACUUUCCUUGCUGCUGACUUUAGUCUUAACCGAUUAACAGCAUAUUAUCAGGCUGCGGAUCUCCACUAGAAAGUUUGAAUGGAAUAUGGAAACAGCAUCUUCUCGAGUCGACAACAAAAGAACAGGUGGCCGAUAAGGAAGGAGCUACUGUGCCGACAUAAGAAUCAAUCUUUACUGCAACACUCGUAGCAACCAACUCUACUGAUUGACUUAGCGCUUACUUUAGCAUUAAUCGUUGUAGUGAGGCCGCUUCUUCUCUCGUAGAUAACGUAGACAACACUUCUGGACUUGAAGCUUGCUGAAGACUUAAGACUUUACCGCUUCACCUCUGUUCUUGGCUAGAAAAGGAACAGAUUGUCCCGCUGUAGCACAACUCACAUCAGACUCUCGGUCUGGGGGGCGCUAGAGUUUUUUUUGCUUGUUCCCCGAAACCCCAAUCAGCGUCAGCGUCCCGAAUAACAAUAAGCUAAGAAGCUCGCUCUGGAGGGUUGCAAUCAAAUAGCCCGGCGCACAUUGGCUUCUCUUCUGGAACUGGUAUUCUAUGAAAGGUACUUAGUUUAUUGAGUUGGACCAUAAUCUAAUCUCGGUUAAAAGACUGUCAAUCAGGCAACUCUCUUUGUUUAACGGUGUUGGCUGUCGGCUAUUCUCUUUGUGCCUGUGAACCUCUAUUCCAUUCCUCUAGAGUAGAAUCCUAUAAAGAAGAUGAUCUAUUUUCGAAUGCCCACCCCAACACUUAACUCAAUCUUUCGAGCACCCGUACUCGUGGACAACAAAGACAGAUACAGAUGAUUUCAUAUGGACUUGUUAUUAAUACCGGUGAACAAAGGACUUGGUAAUAACUCUACGGAGAAAGGACUUGCUCAUUAACCUUAGGACUUGUUAUUGAAAGAGCUGAUCUUCCUUUUGAUUCUAUAUGUUGGACAACUUCUUUCUGUCCAGCUUAGCUUACCACUGACAACCGCCAAGCAACGGCGCGCCAAGCAACGACUACAAACGGCCAAGCAACUAGACAAGUAACUACUAAUGUUACGCGUCAGCAGCAAUAAGUAGUUAUAACUUAGUUAUAACUAUUCCUUUGUUUGUGUUGCGCGGCAGCUGUUUUGCCCAAUAGACAUGGUUAUAAUUAAGUUAUUCCGGAGUCCUUAUACGAUGUAUCCUUACUUAUGAGUUUCCCACUUCUGACUAAAUAAAGUCUGGAUUUAGAGUUUAGGUCUUCUACUUAUAGGUCUUAUACCAGAGUUUGGGAUGGGGAUUGCACUCUACCUCUUAUCUUAUAGCUCUGUUCUCUAGUCCAGGAUACUAUAAUACUGACUGGACACUACAAUACUUACUUUUUAGUUCAAUUCCUCCAGUAGUGGGUGCGUUACCAUUCUGCCACUAAUGGAUUGAGUUCCUCAUUUACUACUUGAGAGCUUUGGCACAAAACCUCUACCCUACUUUUUCUUAGAAUUACAAGACUCACAUUCUGUGACUUUUCUUUCAUUCCCCUAAGUACUAGAGUAUCCCUCUUGGCCUGAGACUUGCUUGUUUGAUUCUGCCCUGCGGGGGAAUAAACCAUUCUUAUAAUAGCUAUUUGCAUUCUGUAUUGCCAUGUCUUACUUUCCUAGUUAAGAGUGGAAUCUGUGGCUGCCCUUGCUUACUGUUAUAGGUUGAACUCCCCUAAAGACUAGUAGAGUACCUAAAAAGUCAUUCCGAUUAGUCACAUACCGACUCUUCCAAGUAUUCCGAUUAGUCCCAUACCUUACGAUAUUUGUAUUAGAGCUCGCCCAGCAGGACAGGUACCCUGACUUUCAACUUCACUUAAAGAACUCUACCUCACCAUUCUCUAUUCCGUGUUUCGCUCUUUUACUUACUUGUUUGAUUCCUAUGGAGCUCCUUCAUUCUGUAUUUACUAGUUUUUUGUAUUCUUCCUUAGCAGAAAAGGGAUUAUAGUAUAGGGUUGCCUACACACACCGGUUAUUCUUGUCAGUAGUUAUUUGAUUCUUAUAGGAGUGAGUAGUUGCUCGCCUUUGUUUUAGCAGUUGCCUGCCGAGUCUCAUUCUUCUGCUGUAGCUUCGGUCUGGUACUUCUGUGUUCCAUGCCGGAUUUCCUGUUUGAUGCUCCCCCAACAAAUAGAAUUGAAGACAACCAAUAAAGUCAGAAUUACCCUCCUGCUAGCAAGACUAUAGCUUGUAGUAACUCGGAGUCGAACUUAGUCCUAUAAGAAUUGAAGUGCAGGGGACUAGUAUAGUUUCUUCUUGGGGUGCUAGCUUGAGUGAAGUAGAAUCUCUUUGAGGGCGAGUGGAGUGCGGUUCAUAAAGUGGAGAGUAAGGAUCAAGCC
rnacentral:lncRNA from 1 species